rnacentral:rRNA from 1 species
UGGGGAAUAUUGCACAAUGGAGGGAACUCUGAUGCAGCGACGCCGCGUGAACGAAGAAGGCUUUCGAGUCGUAAAGUUCUUUUAUAUGGGAAGGUAAUGACGGUACCAUAAGAAAAAGCCCCGGCUAACUACGUGCCAGCAGCCGCGGUAAUACGUAGGGGGCUGGCGUUGUCCGGAAUCACUGGGCGUAAAGGGUUCGCAGGCGGAAAUGCAAGUCAGGUGUAAAAGGCAGUAGCUUAACUACUGUAAGCAUUUGAAACUGCAUAUCUUGAGAAGAGUAGAGGUAAGUGGAAUUUUUAGUGUAGCGGUGAAAUGCGUAGAUAUUAAAAAGAAUACCGGUGGCGAAGGCGACUUACUGGGCUCAUUCUGACGCUGAGGAACGAAAGCGUGGGUAGCAAACAGG